AUUCCCCUAGUAACUGCGAGUGAAGCGGGAAAAGCUCAAAUUUAAAAUCUGGUGGUCUUUGGCCAUCCGAGUUGUAAUUUAGAGAAGCGUCUUCCGCGCUGGACCGUGCACAAGUCUCCUGGAAUGGAGCGUCAUAGAGGGUGAGAAUCCCGUCUUUGGCACGGAUGCACCAGGGCUUUUGUGAUGCGCUUUCUAAGAGUCGAGUUGUUUGGGAAUGCAGCUCAAAAUGGGUGGUGAACUCCAUCUAAAGCUAAAUAUUGGCGAGAGACCGAUAGCGAACAAGUACCGUGAGGGAAAGAUGAAAAGCACUUUGGAAAGAGAGUGAAACAGUACGUGAAAUUGUUGAAAGGGAAACGCUUGAAGUCAGUCGCGUCGACCGAGACUCAGCCUUGCCUUGGCUUGGUGUAUUUCUCGGCCGACGGGUCAGCAUCAAUUUUGACCUUUGGAUAAUGGCGAGGGAAAUGUGACACCUUUAUGGUGUGUUAUAGUCUCUCGUCGCAUGCGAGGGUCGGGAUUGAGGAACUCAGCACGCGCCUUUUUUUUGGUGUCGGGGCCUUGCCCACGAUACGUGCUUAGGAUGUUGGCGUAAUGGCUUUAAACGACCCGUCUUGAAACACGGACCAAGGAGUCUAACAUGCCCGCGAGUGUUCGGGUGCAAAACUCGUGCGCGCAAUGAAAGUGAAAGUUGGGACCUCUGUCGUGGAGGGCACCGACGCCCGGACCAGACCUUCUGUGACGGCUCUGCGGUAGAGCGUGCAUGUUAGGACCCGAAAGAUGGUGAACUAUGCCUGAAUAGGGUGAAGCCAGAGGAAACUCUGGUGGAGGCUCGUAGCGAUUCUGACGUGCAAAUCGAUCGUCAAAUUUGGGUAUAGGGGCGAAAGAC
rnacentral:rRNA from 1 species